CUCCUAUAAAUAGGACUCAUUUUGAGAGUCCAAGGCAUAAAAACUCUCAGACAAAAUCAAUCCCUCUCUCUUCCUUAUCUUGUUAGGACAAAGUUCUUCUAUUAAGACAAAUCCACUGAUUUUAAGACAAGGCUUAGGAAGAGAGUAGGAGGUGAUUUAGAGAGUAGAAAGAGUAAGGAAGAAAGGCUAAGGGUUCAUCUG
rnacentral:lncRNA from 1 species